GUGACGAAGCGACGCCGCGUGUGGGAAGAAGGCCUUCGGGCUGUAAACCACUGUCGGGAGUUAGGAAAUGUAAGGGUGCUAAUAGUAUCCUUACUUGACUAAGGCUCCGGAGGAAGCCACGGCUAACUCUGUGCCAGCAGCCGCGGUAAUACAGAGGCGGCAAGCGUUGUUCGGAAUUAUUGGGCGUAAAGAGCACGUAGGCGGCCUUGUAAGUCAGUUGUGAAAGCCUUCUGCUUAACGGAAGAACAGCAGCUGAUACUGCAAGGCUAGAGCGCGGAAGGGGAGAGUGGAACUUCUGGUGGAGCGGUGAAAUGCGUAGAUAUCAGAAGGAACACCGGCGGCGAAGGCGACUCUCUGGUCCGUAACUGACGCUGAGUGUGCGAAAGCUAGGGGAGCAAACGGGAUUAGAUACCCCGGUAGUCCUAGCCGUAAACGAU
rnacentral:rRNA from 1 species